rnacentral:lncRNA from 1 species
AUGUGUCGAUAGCCGGAACAGACUCUCUUUGAGUUAGCAAGGUGCUCUGCCUGGUCUCGUGAACAAGAGAAGCUCGCGAAUCGUUGGUCGAUUGCCGGAGCAUUUCUCUUCGAGUUGGCAGAGUGGUCUUCUUCCGGUUCGCUCGUCGAAGGAAGGUUUAUUUAUUUGAUUUUCAUUCACUAUAAUUGUAAUUUGAGAAACAUCUUUUUAGUGGAACUGUUAAUCACUGUUUAUAGUGAUUAACGACUGGACGUAAAUUCUUCUGAAUCGAACCAGUAUAAACUCCCUGCACUUGUUACUUUUGCCUGCACUCAAACUGUUCGAUUAAUUUUCUGAAAGAAAAUUAUUUUGCGAAAAAGGACCAACUUCGUUUUAAAAGUGACCGAACACGCUUAUACGCUACUCUUAGUUUUAAUUCCGCUGCGUUAUACUCUUCGAACCAUACCCCACUAGUACCAACAAUUAUUUGUCUGCCAUUACAUUGUAUUUCA